rnacentral:lncRNA from 1 species
AGUGGCCCGGGUGUGGUCGGGCUCGAAUUCUCUGCUAUGGGUUUGGAGGAGUAAUGUUUCUGGUUCUGCAGAUAUUCAAGCUCUGGCGGACGGAGUGUCUGUGCGUGAGCAGCGAGACGGCGGCUAAGGCUAGCGUGGAAGAGGUACUCUUCAGUUGCUUCAUUCGGUUUUACUUAGUUGUGUGUCCUUGUUGGAUGUACAUGUACCCCAGUUAAACAUGUGUGGUGCUCACUUUGCCCAAUUUCAUGUUUAAGGAUUAGCUAUUGUAGGGCAGAUGCUAUGUAGAGAAUCAAUUAAUUUCCUCUAGAAAUGCUCGAGUAGUGAUGUGGCGAAAUUUGGAAAUACUAGUUCUGCAUCAUGGCAUGGAUACUGUUAAGGGAGAUAUCAUCUAUUUAUCCGGCCAAAGCGCAUAUGCGAAGCCUUUGAUUCGAGGUAAAAAUGGUGCAUCGCCUCUCCCUACAAGGUGUUAGUUUUAGCAUCUAGUUCUGCAUCAUGGCUGUAAACUGAACUUGGUUCAGUUAAAAACUGCACUGUCCAAUUUGGACAGCAAGCUUAGAUCUGAAAAAUGAGUUAGCUAGGCUUAGAAUUUUGAGUUGGCCCAUUUACAUAAGUUUUAGAUAAAGUUCCAAGGUUUCUUUAGAGUAUUUAUUUGUGUUGUUUGGAUGUACGGUUUGAGAGCAGCCAUCAAUUUAGUUUGCUGUCCCGAAAUAUAUGUUCCUGGGUACAGUAUUUUGAUAUGGGAGAUUAGGCCCUGUUAGAGGUGGUAUUAAAAUAAAGUUACAACAUGAAAAUUUUAGAGGCUGUUCUGUAGAUACUUAAACACAUAUCACUUGUCAGGUUUCGUUCGUUAUAUUAAAUACUAUGAAAUUAUCAAAGUGGGCUGUACUAUGUUGGACAGAAUUUUAUGUUUGGACUUGGGUGAAUGUAACAAGACUUAUACUCUUAGAUUUUGUCAUAGUUGAUGGUGUGAGGACUUAUAAUGUGAUAAAGUAUAUACGUUGUUGCAACACCAAAAUCAGUGAAAUAUAUUUCCUUUUUUUGCUGCCGAUGACAUCUCCAUAAAGUAAGGAUUUAGAUAACAUCAUAUGUUCAGAGUUCAGUUCUUUUCUUAUCUGAAACUAACAUAUUUUACAAUGGGCAUGAUGGAUGUUGCAGGUUCAUUGAUGACAACCAAGGGUUCAUGCUCGGAAACGACUACAUCUUGCUCCAUGUUGUCGGCUCAGCUAGAGUCCUUAAUCAUGAGGAGAUGGGACACGUC